AUGAACGCUGACAGAAUGCUUAACACAUGCAAGUCAACUUGAAUUUGGGUUUUUAACUUAGGUUUGGGUGGCGGACGGGUGAGUAACGCGUAAAGAACUUGCCUCACAGCUAGGGACAACAUUUGGAAACGAAUGCUAAUACCUAAUAUUAUGAUAAUAGGGCAUCCUAUAAUUAUGAAAGCUAUAAGCGCUGUGAGAGAGCUUUGCGUCCCAUUAGCUAGUUGGAGAGGUAACGGCUCACCAAGGCGAUGAUGGGUAGCCGGUCUGAGAGGGUGAUCGGCCACAAGGGGACUGAGACACGGCCCUUACUCCUACGGGAGGCAGCAGUGGGGAAUAUUGGACAAUGGACCGAGAGUCUGAUCCAGCAAUUCUGUGUGCACGAUGAAGUUUUUCGGAAUGUAAAGUGCUUUCAGUUGGGAAGAAACAAAUGACGGUACCAACAGAAGAAGUGACGGCUAAAUACGUG
rnacentral:rRNA from 1 species